GAAAGGAGGAGGAGGAGAGGGAUGUGGAUGUGGGAGGAGCGGGCAGCCUGCCUGAAAGGAAACUGAAGACCUCCCUGAACAGAACGAGUCCAAAGAAUGACAAAAGAAGCUCAGAUGAACACAGCUUUGGAGGAAACUCAGGAAGUCCGACAUCUGACAGCGCCUUUGAUGUGACAAGUACUG